UUACCUUAACAACAUGUGCACUGUUACUUACUUACGGAAUCCAUUUCUGAUAUUGCACAUCUCUUUCUCAUUAAAAAUAUCUUUCCUUUUUCAGAGUAAAUCUGUUUGUUUCAAUAUACUGUUCACUACUUUAAACAAUCAAUGUAUCAUAAAAGUUGAUCUAUAUUUGUUACAUCAAACGAGUAUUCUGGUUUAGAAUGCCAUCAAAAUAUUUGUUUCCAAUCUUUUUCGAAAAGCGUAAAGCUUUCUUAUAUCAUUUGUUGCCCACAUAUUUAUUCACGUUUGAAGAAUAUUCAAUUUCUUUCGAUAAAUGUUUCAAUAAAUACAAUUUUUUUACAUGAAACUAAUCAAAUGUAUGUGAGUUGUAUAUAGUACAAAGGCGAAACACAGAAACCAUCGAUAAGAAAAUAUCUUAUAGAUUCUUUGGAUAAAAUCUCAAACAAAGUGUUAAAAAGUGGCAUUCUAAACCAGGAUAGCCCUUUAAUGCAAUAAACACGGAUUAGCUUUUACGCUCCAUUUAAUGUUCAAAGUGGCGCCUCGUUAGUUGAACACAAAAGUGCGAAAAGGUGAGCCGCGUAUCGCGCCGAGCAGCUCACACCAGCGUAAUCAAGAUUUGUGUCACGAGUCCGUUUUCCAUGUACGGCAUCUAUAGCGUUGUCUACCCCAGGUAAUUGUGCCAGCCAGGUUACGUAACACGUCGUUGUGCCACGCAUGAAUAUAAUAGAUACGCGUACCGGGCCUUUUGUCGGUCCGCUUCACAGAACUGUGCACUGUGUGUGUUCUACAUUGUACACCGUUAAUGGCUAGGAUAUUUCCUGUCGUCUCGAGGAUCCACGCUACGUAUUCGCAUCUGCAUAAAACUGCCCGUUGCCUGUGCUACCGCAAGAUGCAACCGAUUGGCGCGCGCUUGCAACACUCCUGACAUUUAGUGAUCUAAUGAAACAGGCGAUGUAUUUGUUACUGCCACUGGAAACUAUAAUUGCCACUAUGGGUGAAUGGAAAAUGGAUAAAAUGGACUGACAGAGCAAAAGGAAGCUCAUCUAAGAGACGAUUCCAGGUUCUCAACAGAGCGAUGGAGCAGAAACAGCGCUAAGGUAAAUGGAAGUAAAGGUACAGACAAAAUGGUUUUCCGAGAAGUUACGGAAAUCUUGAACAAAGAUACAAACUUUUCGAGCUAUCAGGUUCAGUGAAAAGAAAGAUUGAGGGCGGCUGAGCACGAAUGGAAUAUUUUCAGUGGUUUAUAAUAAGAGCGAAAUGACAAAAAUGGUGAGCGGAAUUAAUAAAUAUGUAAGAACAGCGAGAAAGGCAGAAUCUGAGGAAGAGAGAAAAAGAAGACAGCCAGAGGCGAUUGCUAUAUGUCAGACUUUAGCCUAAGAACAUAGGUACGGAACUAAGUCAAAGGUAGACAUGUGAGAGUGUAUAAAUUAACCCUUUGCACUCGAGGACUUUUUCGGUGGGACGUAGCAGCUACUCCGGACGAUUUAGCGUAUACGUGACGCGUGUCUUACAGCUAGCGUAAAAUGAUUUCAUAUAGAAAUUAACUUACAAAAAAGAAUUAUAUUCUAAUAAUUUAUCUAUAUUUACAUGUUUGGAAAUAUGAUUUUGUAAUAUUAAUCUCUGUAUUUUUUUAUGAUAAUUUAUAAAACAUUCGCCAAGAUGCAUUCUUCAAUAUAAUUGAUCUCAUUUUUCAACAGUUCAAAAUCAAGUUCGUCUUCGUUUCAGCUAAUUUCACUUCCGAAAACCAUUUUUUGAGGGUUUCUAAACUAUAAUACUUUUGCCAUGAUCGUCGGAUCCAAACUGACUUUGCAGACGUUGGCAGAACCAUAGUCUCGCAGGCAUAUGGGAUUAAAUAUUUUACCUCCAUUUUAAAGUCUAACGCUUUACAUUUGCCAACAAGGAACAUAAAGAACCAAUUUACCAACCAAUAUCGCACUCUCAUCAAUUGCAGAUGUCGAAAUCUAACAUAGACAGGGACUGUCGCUUCUCGCUCGCCAACUGGAGUCGCAGCAUGGAACGCCGUGGUGAGUGAGAGUCACCUUUCCAGUGCAAAGGGUUAAUAUAGAAUACUAGAUAUAAAUUAAGAAAAAGAUAUAUUUAAGCUUUUACUGUUAGAUAUAAAAUGAGAUACGUACGUUUCGAACGAAAGCAUGAAUGGAUGUGCCUAUUUGGAUAUGAUGAGUACUGUACAUAAAGUAUGGGAAUGAGUGAGAGUUAGAAAUAUGUAAGCCAAGUGCUUUUUCCGAGCUGUGAAGCCGAAAAAUAAAUAGAAACGAAAACAACGACAACAGUCUUUCACUAUUCAAGAAUUGAAAAUUCACUGUGAAUUUAUAAUCAGUAAUUACAUAUUCUGCGCUACUUUACUCCCUAAUAAAAGCUUCAAAAAAUAUCCUUUCUAAAAAUCGAAUCCUGUCAACCGUAGAAAAUUAAUAGAUCCUCGACCAGUGAUUAUCCCACGAAUAACGCCAGAAAGAAAGUUAAGGAAUAAUUAAUGUGAAGUACAUGCAAUAAGAGCAGUCGAAUGCAAAGAAUCGUGUAACUGCAGGCGGUCGUGGCUCGGGCAGGUAUACCGGUCCCGCAGUAGAGAACCACAAGGUCUCCUUUUUCCAAUGACGUCUCGUUGGGGAGAAAUUUUCCGAGACUGGUCUUAUUGGAUUCCGUAACCGCUGGCAGGAAUCGCGAGAAUGGCUUCGGAAGUAGCCUGCCUAGCAGUGUCGGCACACAGACCGAACGAAGCCUUACUUCGACCGCAUUACUCGAAUUCCAACGAAGGCCGAAACGAGAUUCCCACUUUUUCUUCUUCGGGCUUGUGUCCCUCUCGAGCCCGUAAAGAUAUCGACGAGGAGAGACAGCGUGCCACUGUGAACGAAUUGAAAUGUCGCGUAUCAAAGAACUGGAUCGAUCGAACGACGAUUGAGUUUCGAGCUGAGAUGCUUCGGUCAGCCUAUUAACUCGGAGCAGACGAGUUAAUUCGUUCUUUGGAUCACCGACCUUCUCGACCUUGUGAUUUUUAAGAGAUAAAAAAUUGUUCUAUUUUAAUCAUGGUUUCGUUUCUGUAUAUUUGUGUAUGUAAAAUGAAUUAAAAUAAAUCUAUAUUUGUAAAAAUUAAAAUUGAUAAUUGAAACUGGUUUAGCUUUAUUAAUUCAUAGAUUGCGAAUAUUUAUGCAUUUAUAUACGGGAAAUUUAAAUAUGUAAGGAUAUAAAGAAUACAGAUGAAUAGAGAUGAAAAAUUAUAAUAUUUGAUAGAAGAGAUUUCUAUUUAAAUUUCAAAUUUCUCCGGGUAUGUUCAAAAAAUAUAAAUUUACCUAAGUAUCUGCCUACUUAUAAUCUCCUCUUUGAAAGCAAAGGUAAGAAACUAGACCAAUAUAGGUAUAAUUAAUAGGUAGAAUUAGAUUAAGUAGAUCGACAUUGUAGAGACUGUAAACGAAAUCCUCUUCAAGGCUGUGAGGUGGAAAUACAAAGAUGUAUACAUAUAUAAUAUUACAUUAUAUAAGAAAUUACAUAUAUAUAUACAAUCUCUUUUCGUAACAAAACCCCUGAUUUCGAAAGAUAAUAUUCCAGGGCUAAAACAAACCUCUAUCUAUACAACAACCAUGAAUCUAACAAAAUUCAGCAAAAUUCUCAAAAAUAAGAGUUUGCAUAAAUAUUCUCAAUCCACUAAUUAAACUUACAAUCUAUUGAUUUCGUAAUUUUAGUAGUUUCUAGUUAAGAAAUGGUCUAAUUAAGAAAAAUUAAAAGUUAGAAAAAAAAACGGUUUGUCUAGACAUCCGCAGUCUAUUAAUUGCUCAUUUCCGAAUAGUGAAAGUUGCUACUUAAGAAGCGAUCCAAUUAGCAGGUUAAAAAUAAAAAACAUAAUUACUUCCCAUAAGCGUUAUUCGCGUCAUACAAAGUGCAAUCUGUUGCAAGUAACGCGACAAGAAAGCUUGUCUGAUACAGGGUUGUAAAAUUACACUUAGGCCGAGUUGUCUCAGCUAUGGUGGGGUUUAAAGGUGCAUUGUGGGACAAGGUCGGUUCACCGUAGCCACGCAGUCGGGUCACGCUACGCUGGCCACCCCUUUUACUCUUAGCUGUUAAAUUACUGCGAGUUGAGGCCACGCGAUUUAACGACGCCAAUGCUUCCGGCAUUUUUUCUUCGGCGAUGCGAUUUUCUCACGUGCAACUUAAAAGCUUCCUAUGGAACCAUUUUUUACAAUUUUAUUCUUAUUGAGAAUAUAGUACAUAUAUUUGAGAAUUUCAUAGAGCCGUUAAUUAAACACGAACUCAACUCGUAUGAAUUUCCUUUAAACGUAAAAGAUUCUGUCCUAUCUCCGUAGCAAGGUGAGCCAAACAACAUAAUAUAGCGAAUCAUUGCAAAGAUUUCAAGAUAACGUCACCGGUCUUCUUUUCUCUUUAAAAAGCGAAAAAUUAGAACCUUGAAAUACCUUUGUGUCGCAGAAUCUUUAUCCUGAUGACAUUCUUCACGUUCCACUAUCUUUUGUGGACUUGAUAGAGCAAUGUUAAAUACACUCUGUCUAUUUGGAAACUUGAGAGAAUUGUUAAUCGAAUUACUAUCGUAAGCUUAAAGUUUAUUUUUUUUUUUAUCCUUAUAGGAAGAUUUCAAAAUAAGGUCACCGAAAUAUAAUUCGCUUUCUUCUGACGUGAGCUUUUAAGAACGAGAAGAGCUUGACCUUGAAAUAUCCUUAUACUUGAAAAGCGGUAUUGGUAUCUGUACACGAUGCUAUCAGAAAUAAUACAACUCUUAUCGCAUUUUUUAUUUCAUAACUGAUACUUUAUCAUACGUAAAACAUGCGCAAAUUCAAAUUCAGCAUUAAAACUCGAAAUAAGAAAACGGUUAAAUAUAACGAUCAUACUGUACAAGUAAAUAUGCGGAUCAUUUAAAUAUCUUGAUCAUAUGCAUAACAUUUAAAAGCGAUUUUAAUAAAACGGAUGAAUAAUGGAACGAUUUAGAGAGACGUACGACCGUGUAACGAGCGUAAUUUACGUACAUAAAUACAUUACACAUAUGCAAUGCAUAACGACCACUGUUUUAAAUUAUGUAUAUGCAUAUAUGUGUGUUCUCGAGUUUCUUCCUCAGUUCGUAUUUUAUUCCCGGCUCUUGUGUCUCGUUUUACGCUACCGUGACAUUUUUGUUCAACGUACUAUUCUAAACUAAAGUCGUUGCUUCUAUCAAAACGGAGGAAAAAGAAUGUAGAAAAUUAAAAUGAAAAUUAAAGUGAUCACGUGAGAUUGGCAAUCGGAGAAACUGGAGAACGAUACUAAUGACUGGCAAUUAGAGAAAGGACCGACGAUUAUGAGAGUGUGCCAAGUUGUUCUGAGGUGAACCGCAGCCACGCUGCAUGACUCCUCUAAAUAGAGAAGAACGAGGCAAAGGGAAGUGAUUCAUUCGCGGUGAACCGAUGACGAUCCGGAGGAUGACAUCAUUUCCCAACGACGAUUUGAAAUUCGGAGGAGACGCGGUCGUUCGACCGUCUGGGCAAUCGUGGAUAACGCUACCGGAAGGAAACGAUGACUAAUUCCUCAAUAAAUUAUGGAAAUUCCGACACUCCACAAGCUUUUUCAAUCAUUAGAAAUAUCGUAGAAAAUGAUCUGCAGCAGAAAGGGAAAAUCUAAACGUUGUGCGAUCCAGCUAGUAUUAUUAGCAGGAGUUUACAAGUUACAAGUUAUCAGUGUCAAUAAAUUCUCUUGCAUAACGAUGAAAAUAACAAGUUUGAUAAUGUGGCAGAACUUUAAUUAUCCGAGCUAAUUAUAAUACACGCUACUCGGAUAAUCAAACUAUACAGAUAAUCGAAUAAGUUUGUUUUCGCGCGAGAGAAGAUAAUUUCUGUUGAACUGCUUUUAUAAAUACUAAGAUUAAGAUAUUAAGAAACAGGGACAACAUUUUUGAUUAUAAAUAUAACAAUUUCUCGCGAUCUUUAUUCUUGUUUUUCUCCAAGAAAGGAUUCCACGCAUGUAGAACUGAACCUACGUUAUUCAAGAUUCAGAUGUUAAAUUCAGUAACGCAAUGUCCACUAGUGCGCACAAUCAUACUAUUAAACAAUAUAAAUCCAUGUCCAACAAUAUGAAUCGAUACUAAACAUUCUUCCCGUUAUCUCAGGAUACAAUGAUUUCCAGAAGAACAGCCGCAAUGAUUCCACAUCUGAACAUGUGGCAAACGUAAAAUGUAUUAAUUACCGGCAAUUAAAAUCUCAAUUUGCCGGCAAUUACGUUGCAUAGCUUCAUAUCCAAGGUGCUUUCAUCCGCGGGAAACAAGGAUCGUUUUCAUUUCUAACGUUUCCGCACGCGUCCUUAUCGAGCAUCGCCAUCAUCGUUUCUGAAACGUUUAAUUAAAACAGCGAGGAACGCAGGUAUCGCGCAACGUGCAUAAUGACUAAGCGCGUCUACGUGCCUGUGCCAUCCUGUCAAUUACUAUGAUAACGAAAGGGAAGGGAGGAAGAAAGAAUUAAAAAAAAAAAAUAGCAGUUGGCGAAGAGAGGCGCGAUAGACGUGGAGGAAAGACACCGAUGGAGAACGGAAGACGAGGAAAGGAACUGUUGCGUCGGUGGAACAAAGGCGACCACGAAGAAACACGUGUUACCUUUUGCCAUAGGCAUUCGCCGGGUGUAGUUAAUUCUGCGCGCGUCGCGCGACGACAGAACCCGGAACAAGUGUUCGCGCGCAUUUGUAAGCAACAGUACAUCAAGCAGGGGAAACGUUUCGCUUAAUUCAAAUUGUUUUCGCGCGCUUCACGACGUGGGAAACAUCUGCUGGAGACAUGGACAUUGGACUGGACCAGCUUUGGCGAACAAAUGAAACUGGUAGGAAGGAUGAUAUGCAAUGGAAAAUCGAAAAAUCGUGAUAACAGUUGUAUGUAAUUUUCUAGUAUCUAAUCUUCGAUUGUAUCAAAGGAUUAAAUAGUUUCAUUCUGAUAUCUUUCCAUCCUGUAUCCACGUUUUGCAAUUCGUGGAAGCUGUUAAUAGAGGAAGACGAGUUAAUUCCUUUUACUCGGAAUCUAAAUCUCUUAGAGAUAAUUGCUUUAUUUGGAUCAGUUUUCCGUAUAAUUUGCGUAAGUUUUAUAACGCGUAUACGUGGAAAAAUUUCAUUAAUCGAGUCUCUUUGAAACUCUUAGCAUAAGUGAUUAGAAUUGUGUAUUUAACGAUAACUGUGAGAAAUUUCCAUUUUUGUCUAUGCGAAUUAUUUCAAAUAUCACUUUCAAUAAUCAGCCUUAAAUUGAAAAUUACGUAAAUAUAUUGUGUUCUUUUUGAUAUUCUUUUUGAAUGAACGAAUGCUCGGACGAAGGAGGUCAUCUAACUAGCAGACAACGUACGUUGCUCAUAUAUACGGGCUCAUAAAAAUUAAAUGAACGGUGGACAGACGCGAGAAAGGGGGAAGAUAAAGAGCAAGGGAAAUGAAGGUGAGGGGUGAGCAGGACCGAGCGGGAGGAUGCCAGACGAAUGAAUGAAUCUCACGACUCACACGUGUUCUGCUUUGCUUAUUCAGACCAUCGCACCGUCUGAUUCGACACGCAUUGCUCGACACAUGCACUCUGUCAUUGCCGUAGCGAGGAACGCGAUGCCGCCUCAUAAACCGUUCGAUUCGCGUAAUUUUUCUUCUCCACCUUAUAGUCACGUUCGGUGUAAUUGGUAGAAGCCGUAUGUUAUUCUCUACAUAAUGGAAGUUGAGUUUUCGACACAGAAUCGAAAAGCACUUCUAUAAGAUGCGCACGUAUGCGGUGUCCACAUAGUGCUUUAAUUUACGAAUUUGCUAUAUCGGUUCCACUAAUUAUAUGCACGCAGGAUAUUCGAAUUUCUACAGGGUGAUUCUACAAACGAGGACAACGUACAGUUGUUCUUUAAACGAUGGAGAUGAAGAUGAAGAUUGCGACGAAAAGCAGAUGUCGGAUGGUUUAACGAGAUCUAUCUUCUUAUAACGUGACUUCUGCAAGUUGCAGUUGUUCUUUACCGAGCAAAUGUACUUCCUUCUUUGAGCGAGGAAAAAAUGAAACAACGAACCGUGAAAUAUUAUACAGUCGAUUACAAAAGUUCUUUAAAUUUGAAACACCGCGACAAAGAUACUUUUGGCCUAUUAAUUCCUAUUAAUUGAACUUAAAAAUAUAACAAACGAUUCUACGACGAAACAUCUUCUUUAUUUCUUUUGAUAAUCCCAUUAUACAAAAUUUGACGGGUAUAUAUAGGAUUUUACAGACUCACUGUACAUAUGUAUAAGUGCAAUAUAUAUAGAGCACGAACCAUAAAAAUUGCAAAUUUCAUUCACACGGAAUAUAAAGAUAAAAUUCAACGUCGAGCAUAUAUUAGAAAUCCAUGAUCUAUAAAUAAUGAUCGAGAAAAUCGUAACGUCCGCGUGUUCUUCGAUUUCUUAAAGCUUCGUAAGGUACCGUCAACAUGCGCGCAAUCAAGCGAGGACGUUGCAGAAAUUUCGUUUCCCCGUGGCAACGGAACGACCUAGUAUUCGUGCAAAUUGCAGGCCGUUACGUGGCGAAAAGACACAAAACGCCGGAGAAACGCAGAUUCGAUACGCGUUUCCAAGGAUUUCAUCAUCGCAGAUGCUCACUCGGAAUACUCCGCGAGUCACUGCUUUACGGUAAAACGCUGUGCAUACCGAUCGUCUCCUGGAUCGACCUGGAUCAUGAAUUACGUUGUUCGAUUUUGAAGAAUCGAGCGCUAUCGACUUGAUAAGCGUGGAACAUUUGAAAAAUACAAAAUUCAAUACAGAAUUCAAUGAUACUGAUUGAUACUGAUUAUUCAAAUAUUACUGAUUGGUAAUAUCGCUGUUUGAUAAUAUAUUUCAAUUGAAAGAGUGUAAAAAAACAUAUUGUGGAGAAGUUAUCACGAAAAAGCGUUAAAUCUCGCACGCUUUCUCCUCGGCCUUCCCCUCGUAUAUUCCAACUGAUCUACGUCAGUGACACGAAAUUGAGUGGUACUUGAAAUCAAUUUCAACGUGUCAACCGACGAUAAACAAGCAGUAGUUGCACUUAUUUUCUUUUUUUUUUCAGUAACACGGACGAUCAUCAUUUGCAAACAUAUAGAAAGGAAUUUUAUACAAAUAUGGUGCGCUCAUCCACCGCGAAUUUUAUUUCAAUUGAGUAUAUAUGAAUAAUAACGAUGAUUAUAAUCUAACGCGAAAAUAAGAGUAUCUGAUUAUAUAUGAAUUCAACUUGAAUAUUUCCAAUAUCAAAUUUUUUAACUUCUUCUAAGGUCCGGUGCAGACGAAUGCUUUGCGGCAGUUAACCGCUGCCUUCUAUUAGGUUGCCGAAAACGUGUCUUUCUUUUACAGACACGUCUUUUACAACGAUGCAUCUUUAUACAAACAUGAAACCUAAUCUUUGUGAACGUUGUGAUCUUUAUUUUGAGUUUAUACGUAA